GCUUGUCUCAAAGAUUAAGCCAUGCAUGUCUAAGUAUAAAUAGUAUACAGUGAAACUGCGAAUGGCUCAUUAAAACAGUUAUAGUUUAUUUGAUAAUUGAAAAUUACAUGGAUAACCGUGGUAAUUCUAGAGCUAAUACAUGCUAUCAAGCCCGACUUCUUGAAGGGUUGUAUUUAUUAGACUUAAGCCAAUAUUCCUUGUGUCUAUUGCGAUGAUUCAUAAUAACUGAUCGAAUCUCAAAUUUGAGAUAAAUCAUUCAAGUUUCUGCCCUAUCAGCUUUCGAUGGUAGGUUACGCGCCUACCAUGGUUGCAACGGGUAACGGGGAAUCGGGGUUCGAUUCCGGAGAGGGAGCCUGAGAAACGGCUACCACAUCCAAGGAAGGCAGCAGG
rnacentral:rRNA from 1 species